GUACACGCUGUGACUAGCAUAUCAAUAAGCGGAGGAAAAGAAACUAACAAGGAUUCCCCUAGUAACGGCGAGUGAAGCGGGAAGAGCUCAAAUUUGAAAUCUUAAAGGGUUUCCCUUUACGAAUUGUAGUUUGAAGAAGUGUUUUCUGUUGAGGUUUUGGUAAAAGUUCUUUGGAAUAGGACAUCAUAGAGGGUGAGAAUCCCGUAUUUGACCUUUACUUUCAACUUUGUGAUACACUUUCAAAGAGUCGGAUUGUUUGGGAAUGCAGUCCAAAAUGGGUGGUAAAUUUCAUCUAAAGCUAAAUAUUGGCGAGAGACCGAUAGCGAACAAGUACCGUGAGGGAAAGAUGAAAAGAACUUUGAAAAGAGAGUUAAACAGUACGUGAAAUUGUCAAAAGGGAAGCGUUUGACACCAGUGUUGGUUUUCUGAAAAUCAAUUAAAGAACUGUUUAUGCUAAGCUGUUUAGACUUUAUCAGCUAUCUGUUUAGUUUUGAGCUUUUCUUUAAUGCACCUUUUCAGUUAACAAGUCAACAUCAAUUUCUUUUGCUGUAAAAAAGCUUGAGGAAGGUGGCUUGAGAUUCGUCUUAAGUGUUUAUAGCCUCUUGCCUAUGCAGUCGGAGAGAUUGAGGUCUGCAGCGUAGAUCCUUCGGGGCUAAAUGCAUUUGUGCUAAGUUAUAGCAUUUUAUAGACAACCUGUUGACUAUGAUUUGUCUUGUAGCUUACUCGCUUAUGUUAUUUUACCUACGCUUAGGAUGUUGACGCGCGUGUGUGCGUG
rnacentral:rRNA from 1 species